UCGUGGUAUGAUCUGUCUGUUUAACUACGAUAACGAACGAGACCCAGGCUGUUUAGUUGGCUGAGGUCGCCUUUGGCGGACUCAUGUCUCCUAUAUGGACUUUAAGUGAAAACUUAAGGAAGUUCUGGACAAAAUCA
rnacentral:rRNA from 1 species